rnacentral:rRNA from 1 species
CGUACCUUUUGUAUAAUGGGUCAGCGACUUAGUGUUGCGUGCAAGCUUAAGCCGAUAGGUGUAGGCACAGCGAAAGCGAGUCUUAAUAGGGCGAAUGAGUACGUAGCAUUAGACCCGAAGGCAAGUGAUCUAGAUAUGGGCAGGCUGAAGGUGCAGUAACAUGCACUGGAGGGCCGAACCGUUGAGCGUUGAAAAGCUCUCGGAUGACCUGUGUCUAGGGGUGAAAGGCCAAUCAAACUCGGUGAUAGCUGGUUCUCCCCGAAAUGCAUUUAGGUGCAGCGUCGUAUUAUAGCUUGGUGGAGGUAGAGCGACUGGUUGGUUGAGCGGGACUACAAUCUUAGCAAUGUCAGCCAAACUCCGAAUGCCACUAAUUGUGUUGUACGGCAGUGAGACUGUGGGGGAUAAGCUUCAUAGUCGAGAGGGAAACAGCCCAGAUCGCCGGUUAAGGCCCCUAAGGGUGUACUAAGUGGAAAAGGAUGUGGGAUCGCGAAGACAGCCAGGAGGUUGGCUUAGAAGCAGCCAUCCUUGAAAGAGUGCGUAAUAGCUCACUGGUCGAGUGACACUGCGCCGAAAAUGUACCGGGGCUAAACAUAUUACCGAAGCUGUGGAUCCGUAAGGAUGGUAGGAGAGCGUUCUAAGUGCACUGAAGCAUGAUCGUGAGGACAUGUGGAGCGCUUAGAAGUGAGAACGCCG